rnacentral:rRNA from 1 species
CCUACGGGAGGCAGCAGUGGGGAAUUUUCCGCAAUGGGCGAAAGCCUGACGGAGCAAUACCGCGUGAGGGAAGAAUGCCUACGGGUUGUAAACCUCUUUUAUCAGGGAGGAACAAAAUGACGUGUACCUGAUGAAUAAGCAUCGGCUAACUCUGUGCCAGCAGCCGCGGUAAGACAGAGGAUGCAAGUGUUAUCCGGAAUUACUGGGCGUAAAGCGUCUGUAGGUUGUUGAACAAGUCAACUGUUAAAUCUUGAAGCUCAACUUCAAAAUCGCAGUCGAAACUGUUUGACUAGAGUAUAGUAGAGGUAAAGGGAAUUUCCAGUGGAGCGGUGAAAUGCGUAGAUAUUGGAAAGAACACCGAUGGCGAAAGCACUUUACUGGGCUAUUACUGACACUCAGAGACGACAGCUAGGGUAGCAAAUGGGAUUAGAUACCCCAGUAGUCCUAGCCGUAAACUAUGGAUACUAGAUGUUGAACAGAUCGACCUGUGCAGUAUUAAAGCUAACGCGUUAAGUAUCCCGCCUGGGAAGUAUGCUCGCAAAGAGNGAACACAAGAAGUAGACGCGUGAGACGUGCCGACGACGACGACGAGGGAGGUUAGG